UACGGGGGGGGCAAGCGUUGUUCGGAAUUACUGGGCGUAAAGGGCUCGUAGGUGGCCAACUAAGUCGGACGUGAAAUCCCUCGGCUUAACUGGGGAACUGCGUCUGAUACUGGAUGGCUUGAGUUUGGGAGAGGGAUGCGGAAUUCCAGGUGUAGCGGUGAAAUGCGUAGAUAUCUGGAGGAACACCGGUGGCGAAGGCGGCAUCCUGGACCAACACUGACACUGAGGAGCGAAAGCCAGGGGAGCAAACGGG
rnacentral:rRNA from 1 species